AGUGAACGCUGGCGGUAGGCCUAACACAUGCAAGUCGAACGGCAGCACAGUAAGAGCUUGCUCUUACGGGUGGCGAGUGGCGGACGGGUGAGGAAUACAUCGGAAUCUACUUUUUCGUGGGGGAUAACGUAGGGAAACUUACGCUAAUACCGCAUACGGCCUACGGGUGAAAGCAGGGGAUCUUCGGACCUUGCGCGAUUGAAUGAGCCGAUGUCGGAUUAGCUAGUUGGCGGGGUAAAGGCCCACCAAGGCGACGAUCCGUAGCUGGUCUGAGAGGAUGAUCAGCCACACUGGAACUGAGACACGGUCCAGACUCCUACGGGAGGCAGCAGUGGGGAAUAUUGGACAAUGGGCGCAAGCCUGAUCCAGCCAUACCGCGUGGGUGAAGAAGGCCUUCGGGUUGUAAAGCCCUUUUGUUGGGAAAGAAAAGCAGCAGGUUGAUACCCCGCUGUUCUGACGGUACCCAAAGAAUAAGCACCGGCUAACUUCGUG
rnacentral:rRNA from 1 species